rnacentral:rRNA from 1 species
UACGAAGGGGGCUAGCGUUGUUCGGAAUUACUGGGCGUAAAGCGCGCGCAGGCGGUCUUCCAAGUCAGUGGUGAAAGCCUGGAGCUCAACUCCAGAACUGCCAUUGAAACUGUUUAGACUUGAGUACGAGAGAGGUGAGUGGAAUUCCCAGUGUAGAGGUGAAAUUCGUAGAUAUUGGGAAGAACACCAGUGGCGAAGGCGGCUCACUGGCUCGUAACUGACGCUCAGGCGCGACAGCGUGGGGAUCAAACAGG